CAUAUUCUUCACUGUCCCAGGCUUGCAGGGACAGCUAGCAUCAGUCUCCCCAUCCUGUUCCUGAUUUGUUUUAUUUACCUACCCAGACUUCUUACUGCUCAUUUGUGUACUUAUUUCCUGUCUGUCACCUCUCAGUCACUUGGCAAACAUUAGCUGACUACCUGCUCUGUGCCUGGUAUGUCCUAGGUGCUAAGGAUAUGACAAUAGGGACACACAUCUCUGUAUUAGUGGAGCUGGUGUGGUGAGAAGCAAUAUGCAGGUAUAAUAUGCAGGCUGCCAACAGGUGAUGGGUGCUGUGGGAGAAAAGGGGAGAUGGAUCAUCAAAGGGAUGGCUUGUCAUUACAAGUGGAAUUAUCAAGGGAAACCUCCUCUGAGUACCGGUAGAAGAUGGAGGUGGGCAUGGGGUCAUUGGUGCUCACUGACAGUUCUUGUCAUUGUGAAGCAGGCACAAAAGAAUUAAGGAAGGAAGGUGUUAUAAAGGCUAACCCUUUGUUCUUUCUCUUUUCUUUUCUUCUUCUUUCCUUCCUCCUUCACUUUCUCCUUCCUUCAUCUUCCUUUUCUAAUGUGCUAGAGAUAAAACCUAGGACUUUGCUUAUUUUGCAAGCAGUGGACAAGUUCUAAUUCCAGUUCUAAUUCCUUUAUUUUAACCAAAACUUUCAGUUUAAGCUAAUCGUAAGUCCAUAUACAGUUAGAAGGAUCACUUCCUUUAUGCAGUUUUCCCCAGGGGUGGCACCUUACAUACUAUGGCACAAUUUCAAAGCCGGGAAGUGGACACUAUUAUAAGCUACUGAUAUGGGGCAGGCUUCAUCAGUUUUGUUGACCUCACUGAGUAUUGCACAUGACUGUGCAAGCCUGGGCCCCUCAGCUCUAGGCAGUAUUAACGGGUGUUUUCUCUUCGCUGUCCAAGUUAAAGGGUCGUUUGAAGGGUUUAGAGCUGCAGAAAAAGCAGGGCCAAGUGACUCUGGGUGGUCAGCUUGCCUGAGCUCCACUUAUCCGGGCAGCCAUCUGAGAAGACAGCAGAAGGUGCCCUCACCUUACAUGUGUGGAAACACAGUGGGAACUCUUGGAAGUCCCCACAACUGACGGGCAAAGAAACCUGCCUUCAAUCCAACUGUUCUUUCUGGGGGCUCUUUCUGAAGCCAAGAAUUGCAGGAUGAAAAAGAAGACUGCAAAGGACUUAGUGAACAAGGGGGAAGACAGGUUCCAGGGAAUAGGGUGAAGAAAUGAGGCAGGUGUCUCGAAAGAUGCUUCUGGGGUUCUGAGUCAGUAUCCAUGGGGAGCUUAAAGAACAUUACAGGGCUCUAGAGAAGAAAUGGUGAAGUUGUCACUUAAUGUGUUAAUUGGACAAACCAUACCCCUGUAAUUCAUACUCCUCACACGAAGACUGGGAGUGGCCCCCUAUUCCACCCAUGGCUUGUAUGCUUCACCCCAGAUUUUGUAUGUUGAAAUUAACCUGCAAGAUAUUAGAAGGUGGGGCCUGGGGAUGCAUGUAGUGGUGGGAUUAGGACCCUUAUGAGGUACUGAAGAGAUCUGAGUUCUCUUGCCUUCUACACAGUGGAGUGCUACCAACUAUGAACCAUGAAGCCACUCCUCAGCAGGCACACCAGAUGCUGACACCUUGAUCUUCCCAACGUCCAGAACAGACAGAAACAUAUUCUCUGCUGAUUUUGAGAUAGCCAACCCAGGCCAUUCUGUUAAAGCAGCACAGACAGACUUAACAAACACCCAGAGCUGUACACAACAAAGAAAAGGAGAAGAGGUUUUUUUUUUUUUUUUUUUUUUUUUGCAAAGCACAAAUGCUAGUCCAAUUGCCAAAACCAGAUAGAAGGAACCCAAGCUGACGGCCCAGCCUGUCUGCAGCCUAUGACUAGGAAGCCUGGCUGGCUUGCCUGGGAUUGAAAACACAGAAUUUAGGUCAGCACACAUAGAGGCUCUGGCUCUGUUUAUAAGAAACAGAGAGUGUGUGUUCCUAUUAAACGCCUUUGAAUCCCAGUGAGAGUGGGAGACCCAGGGCUGUUUACGGCUUUGGAUAUUUACUUUUCUCAUAUACAAAUCAGCUUGGGUGCCGUCAGAGCUGACGCCACCUCACACUGUGGCCCUCUGACGUCCUGGCCCCUCCCAAUGCCCCACACAUGGUUUGAAUUUAUUGGUUUUAGCAGAUUUCAUUUAUAUUGUGUGAGGAUCGUGGAAUGACCAGCAAACAGAAGCUCUGAUCCAUGCCCUGGAAAAAAACACAGAAGCAUGAGGAAGAAGGCUGGCGGGGAGGGCUGGCAAGAUCCCUUCCAUGCAUGAAACAGCUCCCACUUAUGGGAUGGGCCACCGUGGAAACAAGGAAAAGGUGUGAUGAUGUCACUGUCUGCAUGGCUCCACGAUGGUCGUGGCUAGAGCCAUUUAAAGCCCAAAUGCCUGGUGCUACAGCAGAGCAUGCAGGUGACCACUGCCCUUCUUGACAUCUAGAACUGAACAUCUGGAACAUCAGUGGUGCUGAUUGGCACAAGGUGGGGAGUUGGGGCAUUCUGCUUUUUCAUCCACAUGCUCAGCAGAGGACAUGGAGAUGUGCCUGCUAGUUUUACACAUAACCCCUGAGCAAGUGCUUACAGUCAGGCCCUGAGGGAACUCCAGGUUAUUAGAUGAGGUUCCUAUCUUCAGAGAAGUCAGAAUAUAAACACAUAACCAACAAAAUGCCACUCUCUGUGGAGGGGGUUCAGAGUCAACAGAGGAGGUGGGUAUGCAGAAGGGGUGUGCGGUUUCAGGUUUACCAACCCCACACCACUAAAGGGAUUUAGCUAAGGGAAAGCCUGCCUUGGUACACACCAUCAGAUAUAUAACCAGAGCUCUUACUCAGCAUGGAUGGUAGGCCUUCCUGUAUCCCACUUCUGCUCAGGCAGCAUUCAAAUAACAGGGCUCAGCUCACUCCUACUGUGAAAAGGUGACAUUCCCCUCAACCUGCUUUUAAGCAAACCCUAUGAAAUUCAUGGAUUGUGUGAUCCCUGGCAGCUAUGUUAGAAAUGGUGGUGAGAGUCAGGCUUUCCCCCAAAGGCCCUGUAAUAAAUAAGCUUAGCUGGACUCGUUCAGACACCAGCUUGCGGCACCAUCUAAGGGCAAACAUGACUGAGAGUUCCAGAAGCUGGGAUCCCCGCUGUGGGACAGCAGUAGGCACAUCCUGGAUCCGAAAGGUCAGGUGACAGAGCUGCACAGAACAGAAGUUUUCUCUGGCUAAAGGGCUUGGCAAUGCACAGGCAAGCCUGGGUGAGGUGUUCCAGUCUGAGACCCAUGAAUAGAUGAACCAGUGAGCCAGUCAUUAAUCAGAAGAACUUCUGAAAUGCAGAACACAAUCAUGGAGUUCCUGCCAAUGCACCCGAGCUUAAGCCUGAUCUUAGCACGAUUGACAGGGCUCCACUGGACACGUGUGUCUCUGCAUCUGUGUCUCCGUGGCCCCCACCAAGUGUGUACUCUGUGGUGAGUAAUGACAUUCUCUCAGUCUGGAUGAGCAUUUCCACCCUCACCUCACCCCAUACCUGCAGCUGCCUCUGAACCUGGAGAUUGCCACUGGCCCUUCAGUACUGAGCUUAGGUGGCCUCAGACUAAAGCCCAUCCAAACCUUCAUGUGGGGCUAUUUGCCAUGCUCAUAGGAGAAUCUGCAGCCAUAAAACACUUCUGGAUAACAAGAUGCAGCCUUAGCCCUUUUGGAAGCAGGCACAGGACCUCUAGGUGACUUGAACCCUAGUCAAGCCCCUGCCAUCUGCAGGUAGUACUUAACAGUGAUUGACAGCUGGCAAGUAGCACUCUGAGCAAUUGAUCUCUGUCCGGCAGAUCUCAUGGAGAGUCACAGGGAGUCACUCUCAGGGUCCUGACUGCUAUGGCACACAGCAUCUCAGGGCAACAUCCUAGCCAUCCACACAGCAGUUGCUAUGGAUGUGCAGUCUCCAUGUCCUUUGCACUCUUGUCCUGAGCAUAACUGCCAUCCUUUGCCUGUCAGGUUUGGCCUCUGCCCUUAGUCCUGAAUUCUAUUUCCCUCACCCAGUUCCUGGAAAGCAGACUUCCUCAGGAUGAAACUCAGCCAUCUCCCAACCUCUAGCACUGCUCAUUGUCAGACUUUUGAGUCUCAGAUGAAACCCCUGUCCCUUCUGGAUCACAUUCCCUCUUUCCAUGAGAUGCAGAAAGGAAGGUAUAGGCUCCACCACCAGACUUGUAUGGCUUCAAUUCCAGACCCUCCAUUUAUUUGCUGUGCGACUCCAGCAAGUAAACCAUCUCUCAGAGCCUUCUUCAUGAUCCAUGUAGGAAGCUCCAAUCUACCUGAAACCUGAUUUGAGCAGGAAGUGGACCAGUGCACAGAAAGGACUGAACUGUGCUUCACACCUCUAUUGUCACAUCAACUCCUCCCCUUUUCACCACCCCCACUGUCAUCUUGCACCCCCAGCACCUGGAAUUGAGUCAGGCCAAUUCCUAGAAGUUCAAACAUGGAUAGAUGAAGCAUUUUAAAAUAACUAAACUGGUCGAGGAAGUAUUUCCAGGAACUUCUCUUUAGGAAAAAGCAAAAAAUCAAAAGAGGAAAAAGGAGAGACAGACAGACAGACAGACAUAGAAAGAAAGAAAAAAACCCCAGAAACUACACAUAGCUCAGCAGUGCUAAGAGUAGAGAUCUCUUGUUAAUAAAGUUCCCCUAGGCUUUACUCCCGUUGUCCCAGUAGCUCUGAGUUGAUGCUGUUUAUUAACUUGUCUAAGCAAUGGAGAUAAAGGAUGAUGAUGAGACAAGAACGGGCCCCUCUCCCAUAACCAUCAGAACCCAUGACACCACUGAGCCUCCAACCUGAACCUCUCAAAACCUCUUUUCAGCCUAUCCCUGUCCUGGGGAACAACUGGAGACCAGGCAAUGCUGAGCCAGAGCAGAUUUGGUCAGAUCUUGCAUACCACAGACGGUCAUGACCACAGGGUGGUCAGACCACAUAGUUCCCAUCAGGCUGACCAAGCAAACACAGUGUGUGAGCAUGGCAGACCAAGCAUAGGGACAGAAAACUGUCUUUAAUUUAGGAUGGGCUUCUGAACCUCAGUACACAGGCUGCCUGACAGAAGACCAUCAGUUCUAACUAAAAUCACCACUAGACCACCACAGCUAACACUCUCAGCUCACAGGUAUCACUGGGCCCUCACAGCAACCUCGGUGGGGUGAGCUCCAUGCUUCUCACCCAGUCAAAGCAGGGAGCUCCAGUCCAGUUUCUUAAUUAAGGCAUCAAAACAUUUAAGCUUAAAUCUAAGUGUCCUUAUUUGUAUAGAAGUAUUUUAUUCUCAAUUUCCUUAAAAUUGGGGAAAUAACACCUUCCAGGUCUGCUUCAGGAAUGUACUGUGGUAAACCUGAGGCCUAGCACAGAAUAGAGAGUAUCUCAGAGUAGCUAUCUUGAGAACUGGAGAGACAGGGAAAAGAUAAAGCAAGAGGAUGGGCGUUGGAAGGAUUUCUUAUUCCGGCUUUCUACAGUUUCCCAUCCUGGCACCUUCUUCCUGGACCACCCUUUCCAUUCCCAUCUCUAAGAGCACUUCAAAGCCACCUCCACCAAGAGGCUGGCAUUCCUUUCUCACCACCCUCCCAGCAAAACUAUUCCACUGGAAGCCAAGAACAUAAAAUUGCCUCGAAGACCAGCAGCUGGCCUCAGCAUGAGGACUCCACUGUGGGGUCAACUAAACAUCCCAGUGAAGAUCAAGCACAACGACUGAGUGUUGUGGCUGGAGGUGUCCCAAAGUACAUCAGUUUAUCCAACCCAUGACCAUCCCACAGCUCUUCAAGCUGCAUAUAGAGCCUAGUGCUCAAAAGGGCUUGUCAUCUAGUGAUGCCACAUCUACACUGCUGGAGAUCGAGGGACACACCCAAAGUCCCAAUCCCUGAUCUGAGUGACUGUCAAGCAAAUCUAGCUCAGUAACCACACAGUGAGGAAAGGGGGGGGCAUGGGGGUGGUGUCCUAGCUGUUCUGGGACAGAAGGAAAAGCUCUAGAGACCACAUGCAACUGGGACAUAAAUAGAUGGAAAGGUUGUUGUCAGGUAGACUUUUGUUACUUCUCAAUCUUAAGGCCAACCAACUCAAAGAAGGGAACCCUAUGGGAAAUAAGGCUUUUAAAAUAAGCCAGAUUUUUUUUUAAGACAGAUUUUUCUCUGUAUAGCUCUGGAUGUCCUCGAACUCACUUUGUUUUAUGUAUGUGAGCACACUGUCUCUCUCUUUAGACAGACCAGAAUUGGGCAUCAGAUCCCAUUACAGAUAGUUGUGAGCCACCAUGUCAUUGCUGGGAAUUGAACUUACAUUCUCCAGAAAAGCAGUCAAGUGCUCUUACCCGCUGAGCCAUCUCUCCAGCCCAUAGAACUCACUUUGUAAACCAGGCUGGCCUCGAACUCAGAAAUCCACCUGCUUCUGCCUCCCAAGUGCUGGGAUUAAAGGCGAGCACCACCACCUCCUGAUGAGCCAGCUUUCUAAUUGGGCUUUCUCCAUUCUAUCUUUUUUUACUAAAUGGGUCUUUCAAAUGGGACUCAAGGUUUAAAUGAUGCUUAAGGCACACUAAGACCAUAGAGAUAAUAUACAGCAGAAAACCUUAAAUACCCUUGAUAGGAUGGAAGGAGAGAAGGAUUGGAUGGGGUUUGUGAGGUGUUGCCUUUAUCUUUGUACCAGGGAUUCUGGGCAGGGCUGUACUCUCCCACCCUGAGGAAGGAGUCUCAGAGGUGCCUCUUGGCUACUGGGAGUGCCCUACUGUCAGAAGUGUGGGGGAGGGGGCUGUUCAGUGCAUACUGUGUCCUCAAGCUUAAUUUCUGGCUUCUCUCUGCCUGAAAAAGGAAGCACCCCCCAAACAUACACAGGCACACACCAUUGUGUGUGUUCUUCAUGCCCAUCUCUAGCACAUAUCACAUAUAUCAGGCACACAUAGGAGCUGGAAACAUUUCUGGAAAAGAACUGUACACGGAUUAUGAUUUUAAAAGUGAGAAAUCAAAUACUAUGCUAUGGAGCUUUAGACCAGUCAACCCUCAGAGUACCCCAUGAGGCUGACAGACAAGGCAACAAAGACAAAGAUAGGGUGUGUAACUUGCCUGAAAUUACUUGUGGUCCUAAUAAGUACAUGAACUGCUUCCCAAUGAAGGGUGCUCCUGAACUGAAUCUGUCCCAUGUUGUCUACGUGACUUUAGGUAGAAAUGAAUAUGGGCUUCUGAGGGUAAAAUCUAACCAGGAUGCUGCUGAAAUGACAGAGAACCAGGGAGCCUUAUGCCAAGAACACAAAUUCCCAGGUCAUGGCAAAUGGAAAGGAAACUUUAAAUGUUUCUUCCUGCCCUUCUUGACCUACGGAAAGAAAAGAGCCUAGGAAUAAAAGGUGAGCAAGCCAGGGCACUCAUGAUUGAAAGAUGUCCUGCACUCCCCGCCAGACAGGGGAUGCUAGCAAGGUGCUGCUGGCAGAUUCCCCUGGGAUAGUGAGAAGAAACAUAGCCCCAGCAAUAGGUAUAGAGUACACCUAUGCCAAGUUCAAGGUUGUCCUGCAGAGAUGGUCCUGGGGCUCAGACAUGUACGGGCCUCCUCUAAUGACUUCCUGCCUCUCUUUAAGGGUAGCUACACAUUCAAAGUGGGCCAAGUACAACCUAUCUAUCAGGUCUUUCAAAACACAGUGCUAAUAGCCAGCCAGAUUGUUGCACCUAAACUUAAAAUACUAAACUGUCAGAUGAUGUUAUUCCAUAACCCAGUGACCAAAGAUACGUCUUUCUGUGAAACAGCGCUUGCUUGAAAAAUGCAGGCCUUUAACAAGGACAACCCAUUCAGGUGAGAAGGAGCUAGACAGACAAUAAAAACUGGGAAGGGUCCUCAAGCAACAGGGAAAGGAUAAGAUGAUGUAUGGAGCCAUGACCAAGGACUAUAGUGAAGAGGGGAGAGGUUCUAUAGCUUCUAUAGCUCAGUGUUAUUGGAGCCUCAAAACCAGAGGAUCACAGAAAGACCAAAUUAGAUGCUUGGAUGUGAAAAGACAUUGCAGGCAGAUGAACCUGGAGGUGCUCUGGAACUCCUGGUAUGGGGGAGCGGUAUUUUGAUCAUAAAUGCCAAAUAAGGAAGAGAAAAUGACAAUGUCUACUAGGUUAGAGAGUGGUGAGUCUAAGAGGGAUUCAUGAAUGCCAGGGACAGUGCUGAGGGCACUGAACACAUCUCAUAUAGAAAGUCUGAGACACAGAAGUUAGAAUAGUCUUCACCUUUUAGCUAGUGUAGCCAACACCCAGCCUAGGCUAUCCCACAGAGAUGGGCUUCCGACCUGGAGCAUACCCGGCUCAAUUUUGCAAUCAUUUGUGAGUACAUGUUGGACUAGGUUAGAAUCAGGAAAGAAAGUCUGCCCAAGUAAUAAAGUCAAAUAUAGAAGUGUUGAAAGAAUGUCAUAAAAUUCCAUAAAGAAUUCCACAGAGGGAAACACUACAUGUGGCAUGCCAUAAAAGAAAUCCCCGGGCCAAGUCUUCACCAGUUCAGACCUGACAGCAUUCUAGGAAGACUUCCUGGAAGAGGUUCAGCUUUGAGCUGAGCCUUAAAAAUCAAAAUAUGGGGGGAUUCAGAAGCAGAAGAGAAAAGGAGGAAAUUCCUGGAGAGGGAGGGGGCUCAGCAGAAGCCACUGUGUUUCCAAGCUUGAGGCAGGAUAUACUGCAUAGAUUUAAAAGCCUGCAGAUCCUGGAGGAGCAGCCUGGCGAGACGGCUUGGCAGCCAUGAAGCAGAGCUGAAGGCUGGGCCACCGGCUGCCUGUGGAUUAAGUGGGUGGACAGAGAGCCAGUGAUGGGAGAUAAAAGGGAGUGAAGUGGGUAAUAUUUAGAAGCAAAUUCAGAGGGGAAGGAACGUCAGCCGUUCGGCUGGCAGCUGUGGUGCUCGCCAGCAUUCUUCAGUUUCCUCCCUAGGAGAGCUGCUUUACCAGGCAACCUCUUUCUGGCUUUGAGAGAAGUCCAAAUGGGAACUAUUAACAAAGGCACGCGCACGGUUUUAUCUCCAUCAGAAAGUGCUUUGGCGGCCUGAUUCUAGAGCUACAGUGAGCCACCCAAAAGCAGGCUGUGCUGAAUCUACCCCCUGAUUAAGGAUGUCAGAGACAAGAGAGUGUACCCUGAGGUCCACCCUGAGUGCCCAGUUUCCAUGGCCCAUGUUUAUUUCCUCCACCCACAGGUCUCUGGCCCAGAUGCUUCACUGCACUGCACUGUGGCUGUUCAAGUUAACGAGAAAAAAAAAGAAGGAGGGAAGGAAGGAAGGAAGGAAGGAAGGAAGAAAGAAAGAAAGAAAGAAAGAAAGAAAGAAAGAAAGAAAGAAAGAAAGAAAGAAAGAAAGAAAGAAAAGAGAAAGAGAAAGAGAAAAAAGAAAAAAGUGGUGAACCUUAAUGAAGAAGAGAAUCAAGCCUGGGCAGGGGUCAAGCAGACCACAACAGGUUAAGAGGCUCUCUCUGCUCUGCAGACUUGCAGCAAGAUUACCCACAUCCACUCCCAGGAACCAGCCAGCUUCCUGACAGGUAAGCAUUAGCCAUGGUCAGCCAAGGAUAAGCCUGCCAAAGAUGGAUAAGUCAAGCUUAAAGUUGUGGUGUGGGUUGGCUCAGACCCUCCAAAGUAUGGAGACAGACAUGAGGAUUACAGAAGGCAGAACAGAGUUGGCACUGGAAAGUGCCUAGCUCAAUACAGUGAUGGGGAAAAAAGAGAUAACAUAGGCUCGUGGAAGGAAAGUGACUAGUCUCACAUCAUUGGCAAGGUAGAAAAGGCAUGCUUGCUUUGAAUCAGAACUUCCUAUACUAUAUGUAUUGAAUGUCUGUGUCUCUCCAAAAUUUACAUGCUUACACCUAACCCCUGGAGUGAUGAUAGGGCUCUGACUGAUAGAGAUUGAGUCAUGGUGACAGAGCCUUGCAAAUUACUGACCUAAUAAAGAGGCUCAAGGAAAGUCACCAUUCUCUCUUGUCCCUUAUCACCAUGUGGUUUUAUCUAUGUCACCACAGAAGUUCCAUCUAUGAAGCACAAGCCUUCAUCACAUAUUGAAUACCUUGAUCGUCAACCUCAAAGCCUCUAGAAUCAUGAACAACUUAGUGUAAGAUGUUUUGUUGUAGUAUCUCUUAGGGACCAGAACAACUCACUUGAUGAUUUUGCUAUUUUGUGUCCCUACAGGAUGCAAUGAAGCUGUUGAAGUUUACAAAGGGAGGCCUGUUGCUGUGAUUUAUGCAUCCUUCCUUUAUACAUUCAUUUUCUCACCCAUGCUGGGUUAUAGAAGGGAAUAAAAGAUGCAUAUCAUA